rnacentral:rRNA from 1 species
ACGGGAGGCAGCAGUGGGGAAUAUUGGGCAAUGGGGGAAACCCUGACCCAGCAACGCCGCGUGGAGGAAGAAGGUCUUCGGAUCGUAAACUCCUGUCCUCAAAGACGAGAAGAAGACGGUAUUUGAGGAGGAAGCCCCGGCUAACUACGUGCCAGCAGCCGCGGUAAUACGUAGGGGGCAAGCUUUGUCCGGAAUGAUUGGGCGUAAAGGGCGCGUGGGCGGCCUGUUAAGUCUGGAGUGAAAUUCCUGCUUUUAAGUUGCGAAUUGCUUUGGAUACUGAUGGUCUUGAGUGCAGGAGAGGUAAGUGGAAUUCCCAGUGUAGCGGUGAAAUGCGUAGAGAUUGGGAGGAACACCAGUGGCGAAGGCGACUUACUGGACUGUAACUGACGCUGAGGCGCGAAAGUGUGGGGAGCAAACAGGAUUAGAUACCCUGGUA